rnacentral:rRNA from 1 species
UACGUAGGGACCAAGCGUUGUUCGGAUUUACUGGGCGUAAAGGGCGCGUAGGCGGCGUGACAAGUCACUUGUGAAAUCUCUGGGCUUAACCACGAACGGCCAAGUGAUACUGUCGUGCUAGAGUGCGGAAGGGGCAAUCGGAAUUCUCGGUGUAGCGGUGAAAUGCGUAGAUAUCGAGAGGAACACCUGAGGUGAAGACGGGUUGCUGGGCCGACACUGACGCUGAGUGCGCGAAAGCCAGGGGAGCAAACGGG